ACAGGUUGCAGCCUGUAUAAAUAGGUUAUUAAGCUACAAGCGUAUCAAUCCCUUCGGGGAUUGGUGGUUAAC
rnacentral:ribozyme from 1 species